rnacentral:rRNA from 1 species
AACUUUCAACAACGGAUCUCUUGGUUCUCGCAUCGAUGAAGAGCGCAGCGAAAUGCGAUACCUAGUGUGAAUUGCAGCCAUCGUGAAUCAUCGAGUUCUUGAACGCACAUUGCGCCCUCCGGCAUUCCGGGGGGCAUGCCUGUUUGAGCGUCGUU